rfam:Candidatus Doudnabacteria bacterium RIFCSPHIGHO2_01_FTLL_49_9 rifcsphigho2_01_scaffold_23428, whole genome shotgun sequence.
GCGCCCAUAGCUCAGUGGUAGAGCGUUCGAUUCACAUUCGAAAGGCUGCAGGUUCGAUCCCUGCUGGGCGCA